rnacentral:rRNA from 1 species
CCUACAGGUGGCAGCAGUGGGGAAUAUUGGACAAUGGGGGGAACCCUGAUCCAGCGACGCCGCGUGAGUGAAGAAGUCUUUCGGUAUGUAAAGCUCUAUCAGCAGGGAAGAAAGACAUGACGGUCCCUGACUCAGAAGCCCCGGCUAAAUACGUGCCAGCAGCCGCGGGAAUACGUAGGGGGCAAGCGUUAUCCGGAUUUACGGGGUGUAAAGGGAGCGUAGACGGGGAUGCAAGUCUGAAGUGAAAGGCGGGGGCCCAACCUCCGGACUGCUUUGGAAACUGUAUGGCUGGAGUGCAGGAGAGGUAAGUGGAAUUCCGAGUGUAGCGGUGAAAUGCGUAGAUAUUAGGAGGAACACCAAUAGCGUAGGCAGGUUACUGGGACGGGUCUGACACUAAGGCACGAAAGCGUAGGGAGCAAACGGGAUUAGAUACCCUUGUAGUC